rnacentral:lncRNA from 1 species
CGUUGUACCAAAAAAUUAUUUGUGGAAAAAAUGGUAAGACUAAAGAUGAUGUUAUCUCUCUCCAGAAAGAGUUUUUGUUAGUUCUGCCAGAAGCCAGGGAAACUAGCAAUUACGGAUCACCUUAAUCUAGCUUUAUAGCUUGAGAUUUUAAGGGCCAUUCAGAUGACUUGAAGCUGCCCAUGUCAGGGCUGGUUUAUUUCUGAUUCACCUUUAUUUCUAGGGUAUAGUUCCUUAGGAUUACAACCUAAAAUAUCGGGGGUUUAUUAGCUCCCUGUCACUCCCCUUUGGCUGGCUCUGGAAUCCAACUCUUGUCUGUUUAGCCACAUGAGGCUAAAAACCAGGGGAGUACUGCUUAGCCCCACUACACCUCAUCCAGCAUCAACAUCUGCUCUCAGGGAAAAACCAAUCCCUACCGAAAUUACCUCUCUAGAUUCCCAUUUUAUCCUGGAUUUUGGCCUGGAACUUCUUCAUUACGUCAGCAGCUCUUAAAACCACUGUUCAACUCCUCUACUUAUUUUCAGUAGGAGGGUUGGUCCUAAUUACCAAGUGUGUAAUUACUAGAAGCCAUUAAGUGAGAGAAUAGAUUUGUUCUGUUUUGUCCAGUGGCCGGAUGAAGUCUGAUGCAUGGAAUUUACAAAGAGGCCAAUUUUUACUAAACCCAAGGAAUAACUUCCUAGCAAUUAUCCUAACAGUAAUAAAAUGGGCUGCCCAUGAAACUGGGAUCUCUCUGUUAUGUCUUAGUUACAACAAUACUUUACCAACAUUUCUUCUGUAGAAUCUCUAGUGGCAGAGAAAAGGGACCUUGUAUUUUGGGGGAGUGUAUAGGUGUGGGUCACAUGACAUUUCUUUGAGGUGACCUGAACUGAGGAGUAUCUCAACCAAACCUAGCCUGAACAGAACUCUAGAUUUCUCCCCCAUCUCGGCAAUGGCGCCAACACCCACUCAAUGUUCAGGCCUUAAAUCUGGGAGUAGCCUUCAUUACACUCUUUCCCUCAUACUCCAUAUCUGGGUCAGUAAUAAGAAUUGUCAGUGCUCUUCCAAAAUAUAUCCUGGACCUGAUCACUUCACUUCUUACUGUCUUUAGGUCCAUAAUCCUAACCUAAACCACUAGAUUAGUUUAUAAGGCUUCCAUAACAAAGCACCACAGACUGGGGGGCUUAAACAACAGAAAUGCAUUAUCUCACAGUUCUGGAGGCUAGAAGUCUGAGAUCAAGGCAUCAGCAGGGUUGGUUUCUUCUGAGGCCUCUCUCCCUGGCUUGCAGAUGGUCAUCCUCUUGCUGUGUCUUCACAUGGUCUUCUCUGUACAUAUCUGUGUCUUAAUCUCCUAUUCUUAUAAGAACACCAGUCAUAGUGGAUUUUGGUCCACUCUAAUGACCUCAUUUGACCUUAGUUGCAUCUUUAAAGACCCUAUCUCCAAGCACAGUCAUCUUCUGAGGUACUGGGGGUUAGAAUUUCAACAUAUGAAUUUUGACGGGUCACAACUCAGUCUGUGAUGGCCACCAUCUUUUCUUGCUUUGACCUCAGCAACAGCCUCCUUCCUUUUCUUUCAGCUUCAUCCCCUGACAGCCCCAAAGUCUAACAUCCACACAGCAGCCAGAGUGAUUUUUCUGAAGUGCAAAUUAUACCACACCAUUCCUGUGCUGAAAACACUACAAUGGCAAACAGAAUAAAAUUCACAUGUAGAUCCACAGGCCUCGUUGGCUUCGCCCUUACCGGUCUCUCUGACCUCACCUCCCACCUAAGAGUCGCUCAACAUCUGCUUCCCUGGCCGUCUGUUGUCUCUUGAGACAUUCUGGGUGUGUUUUCAGGAACUUUGUCUGUGCUCUCUUUUCUGCUUGGGAAGUUCCUCCAAUCUUGCAUGGCUGCCUUUUUUUUGGUCAUUUCCUCAGUGGGCCUUUUUCAUGCUCUAGCUAAAGCAACAACACACCCUCCGCCACCACCUUCUGUCACAUAUCCCUCCUUUAUUUUAUUCCUAUUACUUCUAAAAGUCUGAAAUUGGAAUGUGUAUUGUUUACAUGCUUAUUACCUACCUUGAACUCUGGAAUGAAAGUUCCUUGAGGACAGGAACCCCGCUUGUCUGGGACACUGCUGUCCCCCUUGUCUGAUCCAGUGCCCGCCCUAAGAGAUGCUCAAGGAAUGUUGGUUCAGUCACUGAUUUCAAGAGCACAGAGACUCAGAAACUUCUCCCUUUCCUCUCAACAUUGUAGUAAAGUUAAUUAUGAUGAGCCCUUUUUUCUCCUGUAAAUACACUUAUCUCCUGACAUGAAGUGCACAUCUCUGGGGGCUAAACAAAUCCAUAUUCAAAAAGCUUGGAGUAGAGAAUGAUUAGAUCUGAAGUGGCAGAUGGCCUUCUACCUGUGUAGCAGCACCGAUUACUUGGAAGUGGUUGAGAAGGCUUUUGAGGCUCCGCUUGAGCUCGUUGGGAGAAUCAUGAUUGAUUAGCAAUGUCUGCCAUUGGCGUUCCAUGGGAGAGCAGAGGCUCAUAUGCUGAAUGCCUGCUGCCUGUAGGCUAAAUAGUGUCCAUAGCACGUGCUGAUGUACCAAGAGCUUGUUCUAUGCUCAGUCUUCAGUGGCGCUUCAGGUAGAACUAAAGACUAAAAUAUUCUACAAGUAUAGAUUCAUAGAAUCAUGGCGUUCCUUUAAAAUUAUGUUAAUCGGAGAAUGAAACUUCAAUAGAACUUGAUAUAUGCUGUCCCCUAACUACAUGAAGGUAAAUAAAUUUAAGCAUUUGACAUUAAUGACUAAAAGUUGUAACAUAUUUUUAAAAAUAGAGUUUCUUCAACUUAUUCUGUAAACCCACUCACAUUUUCUAUCUUCACUUGGCUGUCACUUGGCUGAUCAAGGAUUUCUUUCAAAUAUGCACCAAAAAUCACUUUUGAGCUCGAGAACAUGCCCUCUUGUUAUUUUUCCUUUUUUUGUGAGGAAGAUUGGCCCUGAGCUAACAUUUGUGCCAAUCUCCCUCUAUUUCAUAUGUGGGAUGCCCCCACAGCCCGGCUUGAUGAGCAGGGUGAAGGUCCAUGCCCAGGAUCCAAACCCAUGAACCCCAGUCGGCAGAAUCGGAGCAUGCUAACUUAACCACUAUGCCACCUGGCAAGCCCUCUCUUGUUGAGUUUUUAAUGAAAAUAGAGUAUAAUUUCUUGUCUUCAUUCAUGAAUUCGAAAGUUGGCACACAUCCUCUGACCAUCCACUCUGUAUCGGUGCUUCAGGGGUGCAGAGGUGAAAGAACGUUGCUGUGCUUUCUGCAAGUUCCCAGUCCAGUGGUGGAAAGACAAUUCCAGGAUUCUGUGACCCCAUGGCCAACUUCAGCGCCGAUGAGAUGUAACCGCACUGCUGGGUAUACUCAACCUCAGGGACAUGGAGCCAACCGCAGCCCCAUGAGUUCUGACUGAGCUUGAGGACUUUUGCCAAGAGAAAUUCCUAAGACUGAUUGAAUGCUCAAAUCUCAAGGCAGCCCUUCAAGAUUCCUGCCACUGAAGAUUAUGUUUGCAGACCAAUCAGCAAAAUGCAGAAUGAGAUUAUCCUGUUGGUGGUUUGGAUAAGGAAAAACACAUUCUUGACUGUGUAGAUGAAAGUUGAGAAAACAGUCGAGCAGGGUGUUUCCCAUCUGAAUUCUCUGGAUCCUAUAAUUAAGAAUACCUGGGACUUUUGGAAUGUUAGACAUAAGCGAACAGAUGCAAGCAUUUUGUGCAGUAGUGGGGGGAGCAUCCCACAUUUUUCCAAUUAUUUAGCAAAGCGUAGCUCUUGGCCUCUUUGUAUGAGCGUGAUAAUCAAAGCAGGCACUCUGCUCCUUUAUGCCAUUAGAGCAGUUGUCGAUGAGGACAUGCUAUCUGGUGCUAAGACAACGGCUGGCAUUUAGUUCCCAAGGAUCAAGGAGAAGGCAACCUAACCUGAACCUCCUGAUCUAAACAACCAGGACUGUUGUUUCCCAAAACCAGGGGCCCUCUUCCUAAAGUAAAGCCUACUGGGCCUCCUCCACCUGUGAAUUUGCCUUAAAGAAGGCUGUAGGACCGAAGUCUCCACCCCUAUGGGCAGCGUUAUUGAAUAGGCUUCUAAAAAGCAAGUCAAUGAAUAAAUAAAUGCUUAACACCAUCUAUUUGAAUUACAGGCAUAUCCACAUGUACAUAUUCAUCGUAUUGGAUCCCAUGUGCCCUGUUUGCCCUGUGUGUUCAUUUGGACAUGUGUGUGCUGUAUUUGUACAUCCAUGCCUGCAUGAAUCCAUGUAUCAGAUAUAAAAGCGAUUUGCCUGUGGAAGAAAGGCACAUGGAAGGCGGCCGGAGCAAAUCAGGAGAGCUGCCAGGGUCGAUCCUUUGCAUAGGCCUCAGCUCUCUCUGAGUCCUGCCUCAACUCCCCAUCGCCAAACCAGGUAGCACAUAGCCUCACCCUGAUUAUGGGCCCCUGUUGGGGUUCCCAUGGGAACACUAUUUUAUGGAGCCUUCACAUUUGCCAUUUACAGGUAAGAAAACAGAUGCAACGAGAAAUGAGAAAUUUUAUAGGUUGGGAUUUAAACACAGGAGUGUGUGUAUAUAUAUACACACACACACUUACACACACUCACACUCAUAGCUCUGAUAGUAUCACACUGUGCUCUAACAACACUGGUGCAUCUUUUUGGAUCCUCAAACAAGCCAGACCCUAAUGCUCCUCCACCCGCUUUUCAUGGGGCUCCUUCUCAUCUUGCUGACUUGAAUAUCACUAUUCAGAGAGGCCUUCCAUGACCAUAUUAUUCAGAUUCUCUUGUUUGCUUCCUCCAAAUUUAUCUUAAUUUGUAAUUAUCUUAGAUUCGUCUGUUUGGUCCAUUUGUGCACUGUUUGAACCUCUCUCUCCCAUGAGAAGGCAAGCUCCUGACAUCUGAGGUCCGGGCUCUCAUCUUCCUCUGUAGCCCCAGCCCCCGCACAGGAUGUUUAAUGCCUGGCUGCCCAGGAAACCCCACCUCACCAUCUCGCCCAGUCCGGGGCGCUCUCUAAUUGCUGCCCUGAUGGUCCUGUCUCUCUGCCUGUGUCAUUGCUGCUCUGUGGUCUGUCCCAUCUGUGUGUUGCUACUCAGUAAGAGAUGCUCUGAUACAAACUCCCUGGCUAAAGUGUUGCUGGGGAAUGGUGGUUUCAUUCCUUCAUUCCCUCCCUCCCUCACCCCUACAAAGUACUGAAAGCCUCUCCUGAGACAAGCACAGUGGGGGACAUGAAAGACACUGAUAUGAAUGGCGCAUGGUGUGUGCCUGUCCUCAAUAAGUUCACGGGCUGAUGGGGGAGAUGGACAGAGAGCAGACAAAGCACUCUGAUAGAUGCAGCCACAGGGUACUGUGUAGGCCUGAAGGAUGGUCUCCUAACCUGGUCAGCGUGGGCAGGGAAGGCUCCCUGGAGGAGGGGUGCCCAGGAGGAUCUUGAAGGAUGAGUAGGAGUUAGUCAGCUAAAGUGGGGCUGGCCUGGAGGGUAGAAUGCAGAGUGACUGGGGGAGGGAGCUCCAUGUGCAAAGGUGAUGUGGGGGCUAAGUGGUUUGGUGUGGUGUAUAAACUCAAGAGAGGGCCAGGGGCAAAGGAUGGUCCUGGGAAGGCAGCAUGCAUCCCGAGAUGGAUUAAGCAAUUUGGAAUUCAUCCUGAUCACUGUGGGAAUUCGCAGAAGGGUUUUAACAGGAGAGCGACAUGAUCAGAUUUGUUUUUAAAAAGAUCACUCUGGGGGCUGGCCAGGGGCCCCAGUGGUUAAGUUUGCAUGCUCCACUUCAGCAGCCCAGGGUUUCACUGGUUUGGAUCUUGGAUGCGGACAUGGCACCGCUCAUCAUGCCAUGCUGAGGCAGCGUGCCCCAUAGCACAACCAGAGACACUUGCAACUAGAAUACACAACUAUGUACUGGGGGGUUUUGGGGAGAAGAAGAAGGAGAAGAAAAAAAGAGGACUGGCAACAGAUGUUAGCUCAGGUGCCAAUCUUUAAAAAAAUAAAUACAUAAAAAUAUCACUCUGGUCCACAAGGUGGGAGGGCACUGACGGCUUGUCCAGUGCUCAUUCAUUAUUUCACUCAUUCGCCCACGCAACAAUCUUUAUUUCGUACCUACCAUAAGACAGGCACUGUGUAGGCACUGGGGGUGAACAACGAUGAGCAAAACAGAGUCUCUGACUCUUAAAUCUUCCAGUCUUGUGGGGAAGACAAAUAUGGCACCAGAAAUAAAUAGAGGAGUACAAGUUACGAUAAUGCCUCUGAAGGGGAAGGACAAGGAGAUGUGGGAGCAUUUGACAGGCUCCAGGAGGCUGCAAGGAGACAGGGGAGCUUGUGUUGACUCAGAGAGGAUAAGGUGUUCAUUGGCCCUGCAUAAUCUCCCAGUGGAAAGUUGUCUGGCUUUGAACAAAGGUGGUGGCAGUGGGGCAGUGGGCUUGAGGGCAGAAGGUAGGCUAGACAGAUCUUAGGGAGGUAGAAUCAAUAGGACUUGAAGACGUUGCCAGAGGGGACAGGGGAGAUGGGCGGAGGGGGAGAGAAACAAGUCGGGAAUGGUCCAGGUAUCUGGCCUGGGCACUCUGUGAGGGUGAUGCCAUCACUGGAAUGUCAAACACAGGAAGAGGCAAUGACUGGACUUGUCACAUCUUCUAAGCACUCCUCUUGCAGACUUCAUCUCAUACAGAUCUCGUCACAACCUUAUUUGGUAUCCCCCAUCUGUGGAGUGCCUACUAUCUGUCAAGUACUAUACUAAUUGCUUUGUGUCAAUCCUUAUAAUAGUCAAAUGAGGCAGGGGCUCUUCUCAUAUCAAGGUUCAGAGAGGCUAAGUAACAUUGUUGAGGCCAUACAGCUCAUCACUUACAGUGUCUGGAUUUGAACCCAUAUCUACCACUCUCUUGAGUGUGCGGCUGUCGCCACUCUGGCAUGCUGAGUGUGGGGUAUCUACAAGAUAUGUAUUGCCCCCUCACAUGAGCAUUUCAUUCAAACUGUCAGUGCCUUGACUCAGAAGCCAUCCUCUAGCGCUAACAUCUAAUAGCAGCUGAGCACUGGCGAGCUCUCUGUCAACCCUUUAUGGGCAUCAUUUGAUUAAACACUCAAGUUCUGGUUGAGCCAGUAGGAACUUGCUAAGGGUGAAAUGCAGCCGCUGCUGGAGAAGAAAGUGCAACUGUCCUACCAAUUCCCGGGCCAUGUGGGGAGUGCCAGCCCCUUCGGGAGGCCAUUGGCCUCCAGGAGUCCCCCAGGUGUGAGCAUAAUAGGGAAGGGACGGAGGCUCAUGUGUGCUAGGAGCCUCCGCGGCCCUCCAUUCGGCGUCUUACCUCUCCUCAUCCCCGCUGUCGUCUAGGAGUCCCUCUGAGGUUCUGGAGUCAUUUCACAGCUAAGGAAGCUCCAGCACAGACCAGCUAAGUUCUUAUUAAAGCUCUGUGACUAAUGAGUGCCUAGGAAGUGAGGAUUUGAAUCCAGGCCUGUCUGGCUCCCCUACACAACUGGAAAUGAUGUGGCAAGAGGGGUGGGAGGAACUAGGAGAGUUGAGUUUGGAAAGGAAGGUCAUGAGGCUUUUUGGGUGAAAGAGAAAGUAGAGGCCUCCCCGCUGAGACUCUAACAGGCAGAAUUAGGAGUAAGAGCAGAACGCAGAUUCAAUCAGCAAACGCUAACCCUGCCAUGUGCCAGGCCCUGUGCCUGGUGCUGGAAUAUCAGAAACGAAAACACUGUCCUUGGCCUCUUGCAGCUCACAGCCUGGGCGAACAGACGGACACGAGGCCAGGUGCUUCUUGCAGGGGCCCCAUGAGCUCAGUGCAGCAGCAGGCGAUGGACAGAGGGAAGAUGGCCCGAUUUCUCAUGACUGGGCAUGCCAGGGAGCACUGGGGACAGACCAUCUCCUUUGAACAGGGCUUCCGUGAACAAGGAGGGUCCUGACAGAUAGAGAGAGGGAGGAAGGCCAUUGUAGGGAGCAGGGACAGCAGGAGCGAGGACACCGAGGGAGGAGACCGUACAAGGCAUUUGGAAAGGGUGAGUGACUGCGCGUGUUUAGCAGGUGGAAUCCACUUGGAGAAAUGCCAGCCAUGAGCCUGAAAAUCUAGCCUGAAGUUGGACUGUGGGGGGCCUUGAACGUCAAGCUUCUUGAAGUAAGAGGUGUUUUGCUUUGGGCAAACUUGAAAGAGGAGCAACUAGAUUUACACAGAGAUGUUCACUGUUGACUGCAGCUCUUUAAGAUGGUGCUGAUAGGGUGACUGUGGCUGAAGUUCAAGGUCUGCUACUAGAAGAAAAAUCCCAACCCCCACCCAUCACAAAGAACUCACCUUGCUCUCUGGAUAUGCACAGCCCCGGUGCUGCAAUCUUAAACAGGAGCCUGAGGUGACAACCGUCCCAGAGGGAUUUGAUCGUAUCUCAGACCAGUGAGGACUGUCAGCUGAGUGAGGUGACAACUGAGUCAGGACGGGAAGGGGAACGUGGGGAAUCAGAUGUCGCAGGAGUGCCCUGGGAAUCCCAGCCCAUUUGGCCUUAGCCGGAUGUGACAGGAGUAAAAUGAAUGAUACCCCAACAUUUUCUUUUUGAUGACUAUCUUGCCUUGCGUAUUUAUGGAGAAACAAGCACUAACAUGUUUUGGCAUUUUUUCAAAUAUUUGACUCUUGAUUGCAAAAAACUGUAACAGGCCUCUUAACUUCUUAGUUAACUUCCUUAGUCAGGAAGAAUGGAGUUUGUUAGAAUUAUUAUUAUUUUUUACCAUCCCCUUCCAAUCUGACUCUAGUGUUUUUCAAAUAGUCGAAGAAAGACAAAAAAAUUAAAGAAAGGCAAUUGCUGGUCUUUAAAUUGAAGUGCAUGGAAGAAUGUCUUGGGAGAAACAGCAUUUAAGAGGUGAAAGAUUACCAUAUAUUUAAGUGUUUGAGCCCAUCCAUCUUUUAGGGCAGAAGUCUUUAAUCAGGACCAAUGAUUAUAGGGAUAACGUCAAGAUAAAAAUCAUACGCAUCCUAGUAUUUAAAAAAAUUCUCUGCCUUGAGUCACUAAUGGUAGCUUAGAUUAUUAGCACAGAGAUCAUUCUCAAGGUCUAAUGGGCCCUUGCUUGGUCCACUCUCUGCCAGACCUUGGGCACUGGGCAUACUUUUGUUAUUCCACCUUCAGCUUGGCGUCUGUCUGUGUCUCCACAGGCACGUUAACGCGGAAGCAAUCGGCUGAAUUCGUCCUUAGAAGUGACUAUUGCCAAGAGAUUAAUUACAUGCUGGUCAUUUUCCAGAUAACCGGUUGGUUGACUAAAGUCAGAAGUUGGAGCAAAGUGGAUUGAGUGUGUGGCUCUAAUUUCAGUUUUCCUUUUGGGGUUGCUGUUGGGUGAGCUCUUGCUCUUAUAGUCAUAUAUCCUAGAUUUUAGCGUCUGUGGCCCCUUGCUGUUUACAAAAUGCUUUCCCAUUCUUGCACUCAUUUGUUUAAUGGACAUUUGUUAAGCGCUUAUUAUGUAGAGGCUCUGUGCUGGGUGCCGGGAUACAGAAGUGACCAAGAGAUGUAAUCCCUUCCUAACAAAGCUUACAGUGCGAGCAUUCCUUCAUUCAGGCUUCAUUCCCACAUCCAGCAAAGGUUUGCAGGGUAUCUCUCAUGAACGCCGUUGAUCCCAGUGCCGAGGCUGCAGGUGAGCAAAGUUCCUGCUCUCAGGCUGCUCGCGUUCUGGAAAGAGCUAUAGAAGACCAACUACAGAAGAUGUCGGGUUGCGAUGAGAGCUAUGAAGAAAACUGGGAAUAUAGACGUUUUUAAUGAAAGAAUCGCAUUUCUUAUCUCUUUUUGGUAAGAUUAGUAAACCCAUUCUAAGGAUGUGAAUAACCAGGCCCAGGAUGCAUGUAAUUGCCCUGGUUCUGCAGGGAGCUGUCCUCAGACCCAGGAGGGGACCCAGCGCUGCGCUCCUCUGGUCCUCAGCUCUCUGCACUGACCCAUUGCCUUUCACUAUACCCUGCUCCCUUCUGCUUGGGUUCUACCAAAAUGGGGAGAUGUCCAGUUUAAAAUCUAUCUCCCACUUUCAGUAAUUCCCCCAGACCUUGACUUUAUUUCGAAGGAUUUUGUUUAUUUGUUUUUCCAGAAAGGACAACGUAAAAGUGUCGCUUCUCUUAACUUCAAUAUCCUCUCCUCUUUCCCAGAAGGGAGACCCAGCAGCGUGAAUAAAGCUCCAAAGACCCAAAACUGAUUAAUGGAGAAUGACUUCAGAGUCACUCCAUCCGCCUCGGAGGUCUAGGUGUGCCACUCUCUGCCUAUGUGACUCAUCUUUCUCCCUCCUUCCCUUCUUUCCUUUUUCAGAAACUCCCACAUCUGUAAUGUCAUUAUAACAGCAGGGUUGAGGUGAAGAUCACAUAAGGAAACACCCGCCAGCAUCCAUGAAAGUGCCCUGGGCAGAUGCCUACGAGGAAGGAAAUGGUCAUGGUGUCGUGGGAAGAACACACACUGGGGUUUGGGGGGAGGGAUGGGAGACCCUGCUGAGGGACUUUCUUCUCCAAACCUGUCUGCUCACGUCACUAUGGAGCCAGCAAGGGCAGACAGCCACGUGGCCGAGGAAUGGGGGCAGCAGCACUUCCAUCAUAAGACAGAAGACGGAAUGAAAUGGUGAUGUCAGGGCCGAGCUCUGCGCCCACCUGUGUUUCCUACGCUCCGGGCGUUCGCGAGCACCUGCAUCACAUUUGCCACAUCAGCAUUUGAAAUACUUUCAUUCACAUUUGUACUUUAGCCACAUCUAUACAAUAAGGGCCACAAAAUCACAGAGUUUAUUUCA